rnacentral:tRNA from 1 species
GCGGGCGUAGCUCAGUGGUAGAGCGUCAGCUUCCCAAGCUGAAUGUCGCGGGUUCGACCCCCGUCGCCCGCU